rnacentral:snoRNA from 12 species
CGCACUAUAUUUAAACUGUGGAUGGGAAUCUUUACCAUUCUUAGUUACGCUGUAGUGCAAAAUAAUUUCUUGAGGUUUCUUGUGUUGCACAGCUGACUUUGCCAAUCUGCUGUUGCUAUAUGAAGUUAAGGAACAUAU